CGGGUAACGAAGAAUUAGGGUUCGAUUUCGGAGAGGGAGCAUGAGAAACGGCUACCACAUCUAAGGAAGGCAGCAGGCGCGUAAAUUACCCAAUCCUGACUCAGGGAGGUAGUGACAAGAAAUAGCAAACCGGGAACCUCAUGGUUUCACGGUAUUGCAAUGAGAACAAUUUAAAACCCUUAGCGAGAAUCAAGUGGAGGACAAGUCUGGUGCCAGCACCCGCGGUAAUUCCAGCUCCACUAGCGUAUAUUAAAGUUGUUGCAGUUAAAAAGCUCGUAGUUGAACCUCUGUCUGGGGCUAGUUUUGGCUUUGGUCAGGCUAGUUCUAGGCAUCCGCCUACAAGACUUAGAGGGCAUUCAGUUGUUCACUAGGAGGAGUAGGCAUUUUACUUUGAAAAAAUUAGAGUGUUUAAGGCAGGCAAUCGCCCGCAUAUAUUAGCAUGGAAUAAUAGAAUAGGACACUUUUCCAUUUCGUUGGUUAUUGGAAUCGUGUAAUGAUUAAUAGGGACAGUUGUGGGCAUUUGUAUUUAAUUGUCAGAGGUGAAAUUCUUGGAUUUAUUAAAGACAAACUAACGCGAAAGCAUUUGCCAAGGAUGUUUUCAUUAAUCAAGAACGAAAGUUAGGGGAUCAAAGACGAUCAGAUACCGUCCUAGUCUUAACUAUAAACUAUUCCGACUCAAUGUUUGACUGGCUUAUAUAACCAGUUGAGCGUUGUAUGAGAAAUCAAAGUCUUUAGGUUCUGGGGGGAGUAUGGUUGCAAAGCUGAAACUUAAAGGAAUUGACGGAAGAGCACAACCAGGAGUGGAUUCUGCGGCUUAAUUUGACUCAACACGGGGAAACUUACCAGGUUAAAACAAUAGUGGGAUUGACAGUUUGAGAGCGCUUUCUUGAUUGGUUGGGUGGUGGUGCAUGGCCGUUCUUAGUUGGUGGAGUGAUUUGUCUGCUUAAUUGCGUUAACGAACGAGACCUUAACCUGCUUACUAGACUGGCGAUCAUCAAUCGUUAGCUCUUCUUAGAGGGACUUUGGUUGUUUUAACUCCAAGGAAGUUUGAGGCAAUAACAGGUCUGUGAUGCCCUUAGAUAUCCUGGGCCGCACGCGUCAUACAAUGACUAGUUCAGAAAGCUUUCUCCUGACCCGAAAGGGGAUGGGUAAUCUUGAUAAUACUAGUCGUGUUAGGGAUCGAUCUUUGCAAUUAUAGAUCUUGAACGAGGAAUUCCUAGUAAGUGCGGUUCAUCAGACCGUACUGAUUACGUCCCUGCUCUUUGUACACACCGCCCGUCGCUUCUACCGAGUGGGUGGUCCGGUGAGAUAAUU
rnacentral:rRNA from 1 species